rnacentral:lncRNA from 1 species
ACGUUCCCGGUCUCUUGUUCAGUUUUGUUCUGCGAACCCUGUAGGGGUAAAAUAGAAGGACAUCACCUAGCACAUGAUGUGACUAUAGUAGAGAGGACUUUAACUCAGAACCAUGGUCGUUCUAGACAAACAUCAAACCAGAGAUCUCCCUAAACUUGGCACUUUCUUUCAUAGGUUUGCACAGAGCCUCCAAGAUCUUCAAAACCUUUCUUACUUCCUACGACAUUAGCCCCGUUAGUUUUCCUCGGUUUACAUAUUUCCAUUUCCCUCCCUCACAGUCCUGCUCUAAUCUGGGAAAGGGCAUCUGAAACCCUCACCUCAGAAGAGCUACUUCCUUAUUGCGGAGGCCACACUUAAAGGUGUUCACGAGUAGUGACGCCAGCAUCUAGAUCAGUGCACGGGGCCUUUCCAGGGCUCUCACUUAACAGCACUGCCUUGGAAUCUUUUAAAUAGUCUCAUAAAUAAUUUGCUUAUAGUAUUGUUAGUUUGAGUUUUAUGUGAGGAGCUGUCUGACAUCAGAGAAAUGAAAUCCCUCCCUGUCUGCACAGAAGGUCUCUGACAGUAUUGAUUCAUGGAAGCACUAAUGGACUUUGAAAACAUUAAGAAUGCCAUUUCUCCGGAGUGUUUCGGUUUGUGAAAAUGAAUCUCCUGAAUUAUGAUCCUUCUCCCUGUUAGUUGGCUGGGGGAAGAGAUAAAAGCUAUAUAAACAACUUCUCUUCUAUGCUGAAAGCAAGGGUCUAUGUCCACAGCCUCCUAGAGACGGGGACUCCUGUCACUUAAUUGAGUUUCGACAACAAUUAUUUCUCAGAUGACAAUGCCACCACUCUAAGUGAGUUGACAAGGGGAAGAGUCACAUCAAUAACCGUUCCCCCCCCCUGAAUUUCUUCUCUAGAAAUGUGAAGUGUUUCAGUGACUCUUGUUAUGAAUUAUUCUUUUUUCAAAAGCAGGUGUAGCCAAGUCCUUGACAGAGAUUAAUCUUUGUUGAGAAAUGAGGGUUUAUAAGAGAGAAUUCCUCUCCAAUUUCUACUAGUAAAAGUGUCCAGUCAAUCAAAAACUAAGAUAUUAUUUUAGGAAUAUUUUGACAUCUUCCUUUUAUACUCAUUUUGUUCUCUAAAAAUACAACAAUAAAACAUUACAGAUGUGUUUUCCCCUACCCAUGUUUCUAGCUUUCCUGUGGCAGAAUUUUGUGAUUGUAUCCAGAUCAUAGAAUAUAUUUUGUUCCUCAAAUUAUUACAUUCAGUAGAUAUCAUUGAACCAGGCACUGGUGCCUGCAUGCAAGGCUCUUUCCUAUCAACUUGUGUGUGUACAACUUGUUGUGUUUGAAGGUUCAUCUUUGAAACCCACUGUCUCCCGCCAAGGGAUGGCAGUUGUAUUGUUUUGUCCAUGUCUAUGUGGGACACAUUGCAUCACAUGGCAAAGCAACUGUAAAUGGAUGUGAGAUCAAGACUAACAAAACCAGCUUGAAAACAUUGUCUUACGUAUUACAUCAUCCUGCCUCAUAAUGCAAUUAUGUGUAUCAUGAUCACCUUUUACAAAGAGAAACCAGCAAAUUCAUGUUUGUCCAUAGAAGGGUGUACUAGGAAUUGUCUGUGUUGUGAAACUAUGAGAACAGACCACCUUUAAUAUACCCACCUGCCACUUAAAAUGACUUAGUUAUAAUUAGUAGUAGUCUAGACGUUGCUCUUGGUGUGUGGGGGUCAGUGCAGACGUCAUAUUCUUUUGAAUAAAUCUCCCAGUCAUAUCUGAAAAAAAAACACAUGAGAAUAAAGAAAAACAUCAUCUUUGGCCAAAUCAAGCAGUCAUCUCUUUGCUUUUCCUCAACAGUAAGCUCAUUACACAUUGUGAUUGGAUCACAAGAUCUUCUGUGUGAAAAUAUGAAAAUGUCGUUUACUUAUUCUAGGCUGGAAACCUCUGCACAGCAAAGGAAAUAGAUGAGCUGCUUCUGGUUCAUAUUUAUGGAUGUAAUCUUACAGAAAGACUCUUGGGCAUAUGACCCAGAGAGUUAGAGUGCCCAGAGGAAAGCCUACACAUAAAGAUAAAGUCCCCCAAGGAUGCUGGCAAGCAAAUGUGUUGAGUUCUUAAAUCUCUAUUCGGUUUUUCUGUUCAGAGUUUUAAUUGCAAAUGAAUUUAUUUCUUCAGCUUAAAGAUCUAAUUUCCUAAUAGUUUCCUCCACAUUUAUAUACUCUGUAGUGUUUAGGCAGCUCCUGUUAUAAGUUUAUUAAUAUUAUGUAAGUGUUGUUCUUGUAUUUAUGUAUAGUGUAUGUAUUGUAAAUAUACUCAGAGCUUUUCCUUUUUACUGUAAAAUGGUGAUUUUUUUUGCCCUAUGAUAAUGAACAGGGAGACUCUCCUAAUGAGAUUCUCUCAGUUAUUCCAGUCUAUUCUCAGAGAUUUAAAUGAACAAGUGUUAUCGUUUUCAAUGGUGUCUCAGACAUAUUCUGUUGGUGCAUCGCUUUUCUGUAUUCAACUUUCCUAUGAAUUGAGCUGUGAACUAAAAUAGAGUUUAAACCUUUAUCUGUAUGCAUUUGUAUAAUUAUCUGAAUG